AUUGAACGCUGGCGGCAGGCCUAACACAUGCAAGUCGAACGAGUGGCAGACGGGAGAGUCAUGUCUGGGAACCUGCCCGUUGGAGGGGGAUAACUACUGGAAACGGUCGCUAAUACCGCAUACCAUCGGAUUUGCCCAGAUGUGAUUAGCUAGUAGGGGUGGGAACGGCUCACCUGGGCGACGAUCCCUAGCUGGGCUGAGAGGAUGACCAGCAAAACUGGAACUGAGAAACGGUCCAGACUCCUACGGUAGGCAGCAGUGGGGAAUAUUGCACAAUGGGCGCAAGCCUGAUGCAGCCAUGCCGCGUGUAUUAAGAAGGCCUUCGGGUUGUAAAGUACUUUCAGCGAGGAGGCGUUACUCGCAGAAGAAGCACCGGCUAACUCCGUGCCAGCAGCCGCGGUAAUUC
rnacentral:rRNA from 1 species